GAUGAAGAACGUAGCGAAAUGCGAUACUUGGUGUGAAUUGCAGAAUCCCGUGAACCAUCGAGUCUUUGAACGCAAGUUGCGCCCGAAGCCACUAGGCCGAGGGCACGCCUGCCUGGGCGUCACACGUCGUUGCCCCCCCCCCCAUCUACUCCUUCGGGAUUGCGGGGGGCGGAUGAUGGCCUCCCGUGCGCCUAGCCGCGCGGUUGGCAUAAAUACCAAGUCCUCGGCAACGCACGCCACGACAAUCGGUGGUUGCGAACCCUCGGUUGCCCGUCGUGUGCGUUCGUCGCGCAUCGAGGGCUCGAAAAAAUGCUCGGCUCCGGCUCGGCUUUCAACGCGACCCCAGGUCAGGCGGGGUUACCCGCUGAAUUUAAGCAUAUCAAUAAGCGGAGGA
rnacentral:misc_RNA from 1 species